rnacentral:rRNA from 1 species
AUGGCGACUAAGCUCGCAGCGCUCAUCGUCUUGGCCGCGUUCCUCGCCGGGCCGGCGGCGUCCGAGGGCGCCAGCAUUUGCUUCAACGGCUGGCUGAGGCUACCCACCUACGACCCGGUGCUCUGUCGCCCCGCGCCGGACGUUCAGACGCGGCAGAGGAGACCUGCUCCCUCGGGGUCAGGGCUCACCUCCGGCUAUUACAACACCAGGUGCCCUAGCGCGGAGAAGAUCGUCACGGAUGCCGUGAAGAAGGCCGUGGAUGCGAACCCUGGCAUUGGUGCCGGGCUCAUCCGUCUCUUCUUCCACGACUGCUUCGUUCGGGGCUGCGAUGGUUCUGUCCUCCUCAACACGACCAACUCCAAGAACAGCGACACAGAGAGGGAAGGCCCUCCCAACCAGAACAGCCUCCGAGGGUUCGAGGUGAUUGACGAGGCCAAGGCGGCGAUCGAGGCCACCUGCCCCGACACAGUCUCAUGUGCCGACAUCGUUGCCUACGCCGCCCGCGACGCGUCCUACUUCCUCAGCGACCGCAAGAUCAACAUCCAAAUGCCGGGCGGCCGCUACGACGGCCGCGAGUCCUUCUCCAACGAGACCGACCAGUUGCCCGGGCCCUUCUCCAACCUUACGGCUCUCCAGGGGAGUUUCGCGGCGAAGGGACUCACUUCCGACGAUAUGGUCACGCUCUCCGGCGCGCACACCAUCGGUCGCGCCCGCUGCUCGUUCUUCUCCACCCGCUUCUCUGAGAUGGAACCGACAUUAGCCGCCAAGCUCAGGGCCCAGUGCAGCAACGACAACAACAACGUGAACCAAGACGAUGUGACCCCCGACGUCCUGGAUAAGCAGUACUACCAGAACGUGGUCGACAAGAAAGUGUUGUUCACCUCGGACGCCGUGCUCAACUCGACGGAAACAAUAACGCAGGUGACAGAAAACGCAAACAUGGCCGGGGCGUGGGAGAGGAAGUUCGAGAAAGUCAUGGAGACUAUGGGAAAAAUCGGGGUCAAGACCAUAGGCAACCAGCAAGGCGCAGAGAUCAGGAAGGUAUGCUGGAGAGUCAACAACUAA